GACGAACGCUGGCGGCGUGCCUAAUACAUGCAAGUCGAACGAACUCUGGUAUUGAUUGAUGCUUGCAUCAUGAUUUACAUUUGAGUGAGUGGCGAACUGGUGAGUAACACGUGGGAAACCUGCCCAGAAGCGGGGGAUAACACCUGGAAACAGAUGCUAAUACCGCAUAACAACUUGGACCGCAUAGUCCGAGUUUGAAAGAUGGCUUCGGCUAUCACUUUUGGAUGGUCCCGCGGCGUAUUAGCUAGAUGGUGGGGGUAACGGCUCACCAUGGCAAUGAUACGUAGCCGACCUGAGAGGGUAAUCGGCCACAUUGGGACUGAGACACGGCCCAAACUCCUACGGGAGGCAGCAGUAGGGAAUCUUCCACAAUGGACGAAAGUCUGAUGGAGCAACGCCGCGUGAGUGAAGAAGGGUUUCGGCUCGUAAAACUCUGUUGUUAAAGAAGAACAUAUCUGAGAGUAACUGUUCAGGUAUUGACGGUAUUUAACCAGAAAGCCACGGCUAACUACGUGCCAGCAGCCGCGGUAAUACGUAGGUGGCAAGCGUUGUCCGGAUUUAUUGGGCGUAAAGCGAGCGCAGGCGGUUUUUUAAGUCUGAUGUGAAAGCCUUCGGCUCAACCGAAGAAGUGCAUCGGUAACUGGGAAACUUGAGUGCAGAAGAGGACAGUGGAACUCCAUGUGUAGCGGUGAAAUGCGUAGAUAUAUGGAAGAACACCAGUGGCGAAGGCGGCUGUCUGGUCUGUAACUGACGCUGAGGCUCGAAAGUAUGGGUAGCAAACAGGAUUAGAUACCCUGGUAGUCCAUACCGUAAACGAUGAAUGCUAAGUGUUGGAGGGUUUCCGCCCUUCAGUGCUGCAGCUAACGCAUUAAGCAUUCCGCCUGGGGAGUACGGCCGCAAGGCUGAAACUCAAAGGAAUUGACGGGGGCCCGCACAAGCGGUGGAGCAUGUGGUUUAAUUCGAAGCUACGCGAAGAACCUUACCAGGUCUUGACAUACUAUGCAAAUCUAAGAGAUUAGACGUUCCCUUCGGGGACAUGGAUACAGGUGGUGCAUGGUUGUCGUCAGCUCGUGUCGUGAGAUGUUGGGUUAAGUCCCGCAACGAGCGCAACCCUUAUUAUCAGUUGCCAGCAUUAAGUUGGGCACUCUGGUGAGACUGCCGGUGACAAACCGGAGGAAGGUGGGGAUGACGUCAAAUCAUCAUGCCCCUUAUGACCUGGGCUACACACGUGCUACAAUGGAUGGUACAACGAGUUGCGAACUCGCGAGAGUAAGCUAAUCUCUUAAAGCCAUUCUCAGUUCGGAUUGUAGGCUGCAACUCGCCUACAUGAAGUCGGAAUCGCUAGUAAUCGCGGAUCAGCAUGCCGCGGUGAAUACGUUCCCGGGCCUUGUACACACCGCCCGUCACACCAUGAGAGUUUGUAACACCCAAAGUCGGUGGGGUAACCUUUUAGGAACCAGCCGCCUAAGGUGGGACAGAUGAUUAGGGUG
rnacentral:rRNA from 1 species